rnacentral:rRNA from 1 species
GCGGUGCGCGUCGGGAGGACCCGGUGGUAUAUCUUGAAUGUCAAAACGACUCUCGGCAACGGAUAUCUCGGCUCUCGCAUCGAUGAAGAACGUAGCGAAAUGCGAUACUUGGUGUGAAUUGCAGAAUCCCGUGAACCAUCGAGUCUUUGAACGCAAGUUGCGCCCGAAGCCAUUAGGCCGAGGGCACGUCUGCCUGGGCGUCACGC